CGGUGAAGCAGAGCUUGCUCUGUGGAUCAGUGGCGAACGGGUGAGUAACACGUGAGCAAUCUGCCCCUGACUCUGGGAUAAGCGCUGGAAACGGCGUCUAAUACCGGAUACGAGCUGCGACCGCAUGGUCAGUAGCUGGAAAGAAUUUCGGUCAGGGAUGAGCUCGCGGCCUAUCAGCUUGUUGGUGAGGUAAUGGCUCACCAAGGCGUCGACGGGUAGCCGGCCUGAGAGGGUGACCGGCCACACUGGGACUGAGACACGGCCCAGACUCCUACGGGAGGCAGCAGUGGGGAAUAUUGCACAAUGGGCGAAAGCCUGAUGCAGCAACGCCGCGUGAGGGAUGACGGCCUUCGGGUUGUAAACCUCUUUUAGCAGGGAAGAAGCGAAAGUGACGGUACCUGCAGAAAAAGCGCCGGCUAACUACGUGCCAGCAGCCGCGGUAAUACGUAGGGCGCAAGCGUUAUCCGGAAUUAUUGGGCGUAAAGAGCUCGUAGGCGGUCUGUCGCGUCUGCUGUGAAAACCCGAGGCUCAACCUCGGGCCUGCAGUGGGUACGGGCAGACUAGAGUGCGGUAGGGGAGAUUGGAAUUCCUGGUGUAGCGGUGGAAUGCGCAGAUAUCAGGAGGAACACCGAUGGCGAAGGCAGAUCUCUGGGCCGUAACUGACGCUGAGGAGCGAAAGGGUGGGGAGCAAACAGGCUUAGAUACCCUGGUAGUCCACCCCGUAAACGUUGGGAACUAGUUGUGGGGUCCAUUCCACGGAUUCCGUGACGCAGCUAACGCAUUAAGUUCCCCGCCUGGGAGUACGGCCGCAAGGCUAAAACUCAAAG
rnacentral:rRNA from 1 species